GACGAACGCUGGCGGCGUGCUUAACACAUGCAAGUCGAACGGAAAGGCCCUGCUUUUGUGGGGUGCUCGAGUGGCGAACGGGUGAGUAACACGUGAGUAAUCUGCCCUUGACUUUGGGAUAACUUCAGGAAACUGGGGCUAAUACCGGAUAGGAGCUCCUGCUGCAUGGUGGGGGUUGGAAAGUUUCGGCGGUUGGGGAUGGACUCGCGGCUUAUCAGCUUGUUGGUGGGGUAGUGGCUUACCAAGGCUUUGACGGGUAGCCGGCCUGAGAGGGUGACCGGCCACAUUGGGACUGAGAUACGGCCCAGACUCCUACGGGAGGCAGCAGUGGGGAAUAUUGCACAAUGGGCGGAAGCCUGAUGCAGCAACGCCGCGUGCGGGAUGACGGCCUUCGGGUUGUAAACCGCUUUCGCCUGUGACGAAGCGUGAGUGGCGGUAAUGGGUAAAGAAGCACCGGCUAACUACGUG
rnacentral:rRNA from 1 species